rnacentral:rRNA from 1 species
UACGGGGGGGGCAAGCGUUGUUCGGAAUUACUGGGCGUAAAGGGCUCGUAGGUGGCCAACUAAGUCAGACGUGAAAUCCCUCGGCUUAACCGGGGAACUGCGUCUGAUACUGUAUGGCUUGAGUUCGGGAGAGGGAUGCGGAAUUCCAGGUGUAGCGGUGAAAUGCGUAGAUAUCUGGAGGAACACCGGUGGCGAAGGCGGCAUCCUGGACCGAUACUGACGCUGAGGAGCGAAAGCCAGGGGAGCAAACGGG